rnacentral:misc_RNA from 2 species
CAAUCUCAUCUCUCAACUUUUUUGUAAAAGAAGGUUGCUUGGAGAUGGUGAUGGGCGCUUGCCAUGCUGUACAAGUCUGGCUCGCCUUAAAGACAUCAGUAGCUCUUAUGGAGUCCGGUCUGACUAUGUGUGAUAAUUUGAUCGCAUAGGAUGUGCUUGCACAACCGGUCUUGUUGUUAAGUGUCUGCUUCUAACCUGGAAUGGUAUGAGAGUAACUUUCAUCCAUCGCAGCUUUAUUU